CCCUCAAAAGGCUGCAACAAAGGGGAACUGCAUCCAAAAACUACUUGUUUUUAAAUUUACGGUAUAAGGGUGAUGGAAUUUCCUGUGUAGCGGUGAAAUGCGUAAAUAUAGUAAGGAACACCAGUUUUCCAAAGCGACCACCUGGACUGAUACUGAACUGAUGUGUUAUAGCGUGGGGACAAACAGGAUAUAUUCCCUGGUAUCCACCCGUAAAUUAUGUCGACUACCGUUGGGAUCCUUGUAAUUUUAGUGGCUCUUCUAACGCGAUAUUUCUUCGUCUGGGGAGUAUUGCCGCAAGGUUAAACUCAAUGAUUGACGGGGGCCGACAAGCGGGGAGUAUGGGUUAAUUCGAAACAACCGAUAACCUUACCUGGCCUUGAAUGCUAGACUUUCUUAAUGAAUGGGCUUCGGUUAUCAACAAGGUGCUGAUGGCUGUCUCUCUUUUUCGGAGAUGUUGGGUUAGUCCCCAAACAGCGAACUUUGCCUUAGUAACGCAACUGGUUGGCACUUAUGGAGAUGGCCGGUUCAACAUUAGAAGUGGGAGAAGUCAGUCUUAGGGCCUUAGGCAGGUUAACUCUGCAAAUGGCGGUCAAUGGUUCCACCGGAGGGGAACUAUCUCAUAAACCCACCUAGCCGAUCCCUUGGAAUUCCGGUUAAAUUUUAAUUUUUU
rnacentral:rRNA from 1 species